rnacentral:rRNA from 1 species
AACGCGAAGAACCUUACCUGGUCUUGGCAUCCACAGAACUUUCCAGAGAUGGAUUGGUGCCUUCGGGAACUGUGAGACAGGUGCUGCAUGGCUGUCGUCAGCUCGUGUUGUGAAAUGUUGGGUUAAGUCCCGCAACGAGCGCAACCCUUAUCCUUUGUUGCCAGCGGUCCGGCCGGGAACUCAAAGGAGACUGCCAGUGAUAAACUGGAGGAAGGUGGGGAUGACGUCAAGUCAUCAUGGCCCUUACGACCAGGGCUACACACGUGCUACAAUGGCGCAUACAAAGAGAAGCGACCUCGCGAGAGCAAGCGGACCUCAUAAAGUGCGUCGUAGUCCGGAUUGGAGUCUGCAACUCGACUCCAUGAAGUCGGAAUCGCUAGUAAUCGUGGAUCAGAAUGCCACGGUGAAUACGUUCCCGGGUCUUGUACACACCG